rnacentral:rRNA from 1 species
UUGGAUGAGUUGCGAACGGGUGAGUAACGCGUAGGUAACCUGCCUGGUAGCGGGGGAUAACUAUUGGAAACGAUAGCUAAUACCGCAUGACAUUGAUUAUCGCAUGAUAAUUGAUUGAAAGGUGCAAUUGCAUCACUACCAGAUGGACCUGCGUUGUAUUAGCUAGUUGGUGAGGUAACGGCUCACCAAGGCGACGAUACAUAGCCGACCUGAGAGGGUGAUCGGCCACACUGGGACUGAGACACGGCCCAGACUCCUACGGGAGGCAGCAGUAGGGAAUCUUCGGCAAUGGGGGGAACCCUGACCGAGCAACGCCGCGUGAGUGAAGAAGGUUUUCGGAUCGUAAAGCUCUGUUGUAAGAAAAGAACGGGUGUGAGAGUGGAAAGUUCACACUGUGACGGUAUCUUACCAGAAAGGGACGGCUAACUACGUGCCAGCAGCCGCGGUAAUACGUAGGUCCCGAGCGUUGUCCGGAUUUAUUGGGCGUAAAGCGAGCGCAGGCGGUUAGAUAAGUCUGAAGUUAAAGGCUGUGGCUUAACCAUAGUAUGCUUUGGAAACUGUUUAACUUGAGUGCAGAAGGGGAGAGUGGAAUUCCAUGUGUAGCGGUGAAAUGCGUAGAUAUAUGGAGGAACACCGGUGGCGAAAGCGGCUCUCUGGUCUGUAACUGACGCUGAGGCUCGAAAGCGUGGGGAGCAAACAGGAUUAGAUACCCUGUUAGUCCACGCCGUAAACGAUGAGUGCUAGGUGUUAGGCCCUUUCGGGGGCUUAGUGCCGCAGCUAACGCAUUAAGCACUCCGCCUGGGGAGUACGACCGCAAGGUUGAAA